CACUAAAGGCUCAAUUGUUUCUUCAACCAAGAGAAGGGGGAAAGAGAGGGUAGGGUUGGUCGGCACUGUGGAAGACGCAGGGAAUGCUAAGCACCAACGUUGGGGCUGAGGACGGGAAAGAUCUAGUGUGCCGUUGAGGUCCACUGCCAGGAACGCGAAGCACCAACGUCGGUUGUCUUCUCCAUCGCUCGCGAGGCUUGGUGGCUUCAUAUCGUUGGCAUGCCCAGGGAGUGACGGGAUCGAUGCUGGAGCUAGGAAGACGUGAAGGUGAGGCAGGUCGGCAUUGUGGAAGACGCGAGGCUGGUGUCCACACUGCAGAUUGAAUAUGAAGGCGAUGGUGAAUGCGAUCGUGAGUUUCAGCUUUUCUCUCUGAGUUGACUUGGUGGGAAUGUUACAAAGGCAAUAUAAUGGUGAAUGCAAUGGUGAGUUUCAGCUCUUCUCUCCGGUGAAAAUGGUGGUGGUUGACGCGAUCUCAGCGCCUGCUUUCUGAAAUGGGGUUUUGCCCUUAAAAUUUAUGGGUAUUGAUUGAACAUUAGUGGUAUUUUCCUUUUUUAACAAUCUGGGUUUGUGCUGGGUAUUGAUUGUACAUUAGUGGUAUUUUCUUUGUUCAUAAAAUUUUUGGGUUUGAGUAAUAUUGUUGAAUGUGAUAUCUGAUUUUGGAGUUA